GUAGGUGAACCUGCGGAAGGAUCAUUAACACCUGAUUCAAUACCCACCUCCGCGCAACGUGAUUGUCCCAUCCUCACAUCAUUUUUAACCACAAAAACACAAACCUUGCUGAACAAAAACAAAAGGGAGCGUCGUAAUGGCGGUCUCGAACAAAAAACAAACGCAAACAACUCUUAACUAUGGAUAUCUUGGCUUCCGCAUCGAUGAAGAACGCAGCAUCUGACUGACUAAGAUUCGGCGCAUCUCGUAU
rnacentral:misc_RNA from 1 species